GAUCAUUACGAAUUGUCAAAAGCGGGUUGUUGCUGGGUCUUCAAACGGGGGACAUGUGCACGCUCUGUUUACACAUCCACUCACACCUAGUGCACCCUCCGUAGUUCUAUGGUCUCGGGGGACCCUGUCUUCCUGCGCGUGGUUCUACGUCUUUACACACACUCUGUAAUAAAGUCUUAUGGAGAUUGUAUGCCGCGUCUAACGCAAUAGCAAUACAACUUUCAGCAACUGGAUCUCUUGGCUCUCGCAUCGACUGAAGAACGCAUGCGAAAUGCGAUAAGUAACUGUGACAUUGCAGCAAUUCACGUGAACUCAUCGGAAUCUCUCUGAACGCACCUUGCGCCCCUUGUGCUAUUCCGAGGGGCGAUGCCUGUUUGAGUAUCAUGAACACCUCAACUCUCAUGGUUCGCCAUGAUGCAGCUUGGACUCUGGGGGUUUUGCUGGCCUGCUGGUCGGCUCCCCUCAAAUGAAUCAGCCUCCCAGUGUUUGGUAGGCAUCACGGGUGUGAUAAAUAUCUACGCUCGCGGUCGUCUGCCAGGUAACCUUUGGUGACAAAGGUUCGCUGGGAAGCUCACCAGAUGUCUCUCCUCGGCGAGGACAGCUUUUUUUGAACCGUUCGAUCUCAAUCCAGGUAGGACUAACCCGUGAACUUUAAGCAUAUCAAUUA
rnacentral:rRNA from 1 species